rnacentral:lncRNA from 1 species
AUGUGCAUAAGAAGAAAAGAAUAUACUGAGAAGUGUAACAAUAUAUUGACAUAUUCCACCUGCUUUAUUGAUUUCAGGAUUCCAAAUUCACUGCAGCUACAUGACAUUGUUGCCUGGAAUAACACUGGUAACUGGAGUAAUGGAGGCAUCUCAGAGUGAAAGCAUAAUGACAAUAUGUGUCAUGAACCACUGAUUAAAACUGAGAUAAAAUCUGAAGGGUCAAUAGUCUACUCAAAAUAAUUAUAAAACUCCGUCCAAGCACGGAAGGUUUUGGAACAGAUAUGACAAGAUUUCUCCUUCAAAGACCUUGUCUUCUCUAGUCUCAAAUCAAGCAUAUGGAAAAAGGGAAAGCACAGGAGUCUAUGCAUAUCCUAUGCAAGAGUACAUCUACACAGAAAGAAUUCAAAGAUGGUAUGGAUUUUCAAGGAUUAUUUAGAGACAAAUAUAUAUGAAAUGUUGGUGACUAUUCUAGCUUGAGUUAGGGAUAUAAGAGGAAGAGACAUAAAUGAACUGA